CCCAUCAACCGCGUCUAGAGUAUCUCAUCUACCGCUCGUCAGAGAGCAUCCCGUCUACCGCGUCCUAAGAGAGCACCCGUCUACCGCUCUAAAGAGCAUCCCGUCUACCGCUCUAGAGAGAGCACCCUCACCGGGUCUGAGAGGCAUCCCGUCUACCGCGUCUAGAGAGAGCAUCCGCCCGUCUAGAACACGGUCUAGAGAGAGCAUGCCCGUCUACGCGUCUAGAGAGAGCAUCCCGUCUACCGCGUCUAGAGAGCAGCCGUCUACCGCGUCAGAGAGACAUCCCGUUAACCGCGUCUAGAGAGCAUCCCGUCUACCGCGUCUAGAGAAGAGCAUCCCGUCUACCGCGUCUAGAGGACAUCCCAUCAAUUACCGCGUCUAGAGAGCAUACCCAUCUACCACCGCGUCUAGAGGAUAUCCCAUCUACCGCGUCUAGAGAGAGCAUGGGACACCCUACUGUCAGUAUGGUACUUUGAAGAGACAGACACGCGUUGGUUACCUUCAUCAGGGCGUCCCCAGGUACUUGGUCACCUGCGGGGCCAGACCGAGGGGACAACAGAGCCUGAGGUCGUUGAAGGCGUCAGAUGUUGUUGAGGAAGCAGGCAGAGGGGGGAAGUCCAGCAGAGCCAUGGGGGGGGCUGGGGUACCUGGCUGGGUACUGGGGGGCUGGAGGGUACCUGGCAUGGAGCCCCACCCAGCAUAGGGGCAGAGAUCAGAGUGUACAGGUUCAUGUCCUCCUGGAACCUGUCUAUGGCUUCCCUACGCUUUACGGAAGGUAUCGCCCGCCACGCGCUGGAACAUCGGGGCCACUGGCCGCGGAAGUUCCUGCCCCAACACACUGAAGGACGCCGAAAUACAGCACUGUCCCAGCAGAGUCAGGCGUCGCGCCCACCCCCCUCUGGAGGUCUCGGUCCAGGGUCACCAGAAACUAGACACCGCUGCACACCACGCCGUGGAAGAUGGCCCCUCGUUCACCGCCUGGCCUGAACACCUUUCAACCAACAACCGUACAUCACAAGGCUGCCCCAUCACCACCUUCACACAGACACCGUACAUCACAGGGCUGCCCCCUCGUUCACAACAGACACGCCGUACUACAAGCCGCCCCUCAUUCACCAACAGACCGUACAAUCACAAGCUGCCCCCUCUCACACCUUUCACCAUCAGACACCGUACAUCACAAGGCUGCCCCCUCAUAUCACCACGAGACACCGUACAUCACAAGGCUGCCCACUCAUUCCACCACCACAGACACCGUACAUCACAACAGGCCUGUCCCCUCAUUCAACACAUUUCACCACAGACACCAGUACAUCACAAGGCUGCCCCUCGUUCACCACAGACACCGUCACAUCACAAGACUGCCCCCUCAUUCAACACCUUUCACCACAGACCACCGUACAUCACAAGGCUGCCCCCCCUUCAUUCACCAUAGACACCGUACAUCAAGGCUGCACCCCUCGUUCAACACACACUGUACAUCACAAGGCUGCCCCUCGUUCACCACAGACACCGUACAAUCACAAGGCUGGCCCCCUCAUCACCACCUUUCAAACACAGACACCUACAUCACAGGGCUGCCCCCUCGUUCACCACAGACACCGUACAUCACAAGGCUGCCCCCUCAUUCAACACCUUUCACCACAGACACCGUACAUCACAAGGCUGCCCAGCCAGUGACCUGACACUUCAGGUGGACUAUUGACCUGUCUGUACCAAAUCCACAGUACUGACGGGCUUUUCCAGAACACAUAUGGACAUAUUAAACACAUCUUUAGAUAAUUCUUGUUGGGUUUAAUCUUCAUAUUUAUGUAAAUCGUAUCAAAUAAUUCAGCCUUAAAUUAAAUAAAGCAUUGUCACCGGGAGACAGCAGGGGGUCCUCGUCAGAGAAGAUGGCUCUGUACUGGGUGAUGAUGUCAAACAGAUGUACCUGGAACAGAGGAGACAAAUGUCAGAGAAUUAAAAUCCUGUUCCUGGGUCCUUCAUUCCACUGCUAGAUAACAGAAGCCAGGUUACACACGCGACAGGCCUCGAUGGUCUGGUGAUGUGGCAGUAAGGGUCUCAUCAGGGACAGUGACAGGAUGGAAUGGAGCCAGCUGCCCCCGCCUGCAGGAACUUGACCCGUAGCUCCGCCUCCGUGAACACGUCCAUCCUGCGUAGGUAGCCAAUCACACGCAGGCACACAGGAAGUGGGAGUUGCUACGAAGCUGUUGCAACAGCUGGUUCAGCAUGAGCUGAGCCGACUGACGCACCUCGUGACGAUGCCCUGAAGAAGACCAGGCCAUUACAGCGAGGUCAGGGAAUCACACUGUCGU
rnacentral:lncRNA from 1 species